rnacentral:rRNA from 1 species
UUAUUUGAAAAAGGAUACAACCUAUAAUACUGGGUAAAUAAGGGCGACCCAAACAAAGUGGGCCUAAGAGCAGCCACCUUUUAAAAAGCGUUACAGCUUAAUUGUAUUUAUACCCCUAAUUAAUUAAAUCCCCCUCAACCCUUCAUUAAUACUGAACUGUUUUAUACUUCUAUAAAAGUCAUUAUGCUAGAACUAGUAACAAGAAUUUGCCCUUCUCCAAAAUGUAAGUAUAAGCCAAAACGGACUGCCCACCGGCUAUUAACGUAAAUACAUAUAAUAUAGUAACAAACAUCUAGAAAACCCUAUAAUCUUAAACGUUAACCUUACACCAGAACAUUUCAGGAAAGAUUAAAAGAGAGAGAAGGAACUCGGCAAACUUUAGCCCCGCCUGUUUACCAAAAACAUCGCCUCUUGAUUGACAUAAGAGGUCCAGCCUGCCCAGUGACAAAGUUUAACGGCCGCGGUACCCUAACCGUGCAAAGGUAGCAUAAUCACUUGUUCUCUAAAUAGGGACUCGUAUCAACGGCAUCACGAGGGCUAUACUGUCUCCUCUCUCCAAUCAGUGAAACUGAUCUCCGCGUGAAGGAGCGGGUAUUUAACU